rnacentral:rRNA from 1 species
UCUAAUUUCCCAAACUGGGAUUAGAUACCCCACUAUGCUUAGGCGUAAACACAAAAAAUUCAUAACAAAAUUAUUCGCCAGAGAACUACUAGCAACAGCUUAAAACUCAAAGGACUUGGCGGUGCUUCACAACCAUCUAGAGGAGCCUGUUCUAUAAUCGAUAAUCCCCGA